UUAAAUUGAAGAGUUUGAUCAUGGCUCAGAUUGAACGCUGGCGGCAGGCCUAACACAUGCAAGUCGAACGGUAACAGGAAGCGCUUGCUGCUUC
rnacentral:rRNA from 1 species